CCCUUAGAUGUCCUGGGCCGCACGCGCGCUACACUGAGUGUCUGAGAUACGAGUCUGCCUGGUCCGGCAAGGUCUAGGUAAUCGCUAAAAGACACAUCAUGCUUGGGAUAGAUUAUUGCAAAUAUUAAUCUUUAACGAGGAAUUCCUAGUAAGCGCAAGUCAACAGCUUGCGUUGAUUACGUCCCUGCCCUUUGUACACACCGCCCGUCGCUACUACUGAUUGGAUGUUUAAGCGAGGUUCUCGAACUGCUAGCGACUUAGCUUCGGUGAGGUCGCAGUGUGGGAAGUGAACCUAGCUUUGGUGUCUAGAGGAAGUAAAAGUCGUAACA
rnacentral:rRNA from 1 species